CCAAGAAUUUUCAUGCAAAGCUUUGGCUACCACCCAAUUUUUGCGCUUGGAUAUGUCGAAGAUUUGGGGUCCAAUGUCUAUAGGCCUCCCCCCCCCCCCCCCCGAGCCAAGGAGCGUGCCAAAAUGGGGUUUUAUUUCCAUUCCCAAUGGUGAUCUCGGUUGCAGCGUAAAAAAAAAAUCCAUAUCCUCUUUGGUGCAAGGGUUGCCAGAUCCCGCCCAAAUCCUAUUCGGAUCUUUCCAUUGAAGCCAAGGCCAACGAAGUCGAAGUGCCGUCGCGAAGUUUCCCAAAUGUAGGAUUCCAAGACCGCCCAACUUCUUGGGACGGCACACCGUGUCCCAAUUGACUUUACAUUUUGCGCCGGUAGUGGAUUCCUUGCCGGACCAAAGGAAAGCUCUUUCAAUCUUGUUGAUGAACUUGAUAGUGCCCGGCGGUAAGGCAAGGGGAGUGAGAUGGUAAAUGGCUUGAGAGGCGAUGACCACUUCACCAAGGCGGCAUGGCCGGCUGUGGUGACAAGCUUCCCAUUCCAAGUUGGCAAAUUUCCGGCGCACUUAUCCUCAAGGUGAAGGAAGUCCGCCCUUUUGAGGCAUCAAACCGAACGCGGCAGUCAGGGCGGAGCUAGAACUAUUCAUAGGUAUGCAAUGAAUACCCAAUAUUUUUUGGAAUUUCUUUUCAGUAUAUAAGCUUCUCUAUGCAUGUAUAUGUAUAUUAGAGUUCGUCUGUACGUGUUUAACUCGUAAGAAGAGAAACAACACGCUGGUAACGGCCAUCCUGAGUUCAACCCAUCCAAUCUGGGCCGAAAAACCCCAAUUUGGGCUUUCACCGGGCGGUUUCCCCUUAGCUGGGCUGCAACCAAUCGAACCCAGGUCCUGCCAGCGACGAGAGGCAUGGAAUCAACAGCCUCGACGCGAACUGCUCCUCUUGCCUCAUCCUCUUCGUUCAGCCCUGGCAAUGGAUCUCGCCGCCGCCACUCGCCAUACGACAGGCGUCCGGACGACCGCCCCCUCGGCGCUGGCCAGUCCUGACUCCCUGCCGGCUGCCGUAAAGGAACGGGCGUGCCGACAUUUCAUCUGAAUAUCGGCACGAUCGUCGACUAGUGACGGCGGCGCUGCAACACCAUGCAAAAACUAGCAGUAGUUCAUCACCACUGUCCGGUAGUGAAUUCAGAAGACACAAGUGAUCAGUUCACUGUUCACGGUAAGAACAGCUUCAGUUCACGACAUCUCAUUGGUUUGACAAAUACAAAUGACUUGAGUAUAGUGUUCAUCAGUGUAAUAUAAUUUAUUAUUCUGAACCUACAUA